UCCGUACGCGUGGCCCUAGGGGUCCUCACAUGGACGUUGCGGUCACCACGCCGUUUAGACUGGGGAGUGGGGUAGGGGCUACCCUAGACCUAGGGUAUAAACUCGACCGCCGCCAUAUAUGUGCAGCUCAUGCCCCACGGUCCCUCCUCCCCGCAGACCCAGUGUUCCCCCGCCUUUUGAUUCCCACGGCCAAACGCUCCUCGGCCACCUCUGUGGCGUGAUCCGUCGUCGCUGCGCAAAGCCAUCGCCGCCAGGGUCGCUCUGCCACGUCGCCGACCGGGUGCCAGAUUCACGCCGUGUUUGUUGUGUGCCGGGGAAUUCUUCCGCCGCGGAGUAACCUCACCGUCGUUCCGUGAUUCCAGGGCUGAUCCGGGGCCAGUGCGGGGUUCCGGGCGUUCGCGUGGGUGUAACACGAGAGUUCAUGUGACAGUUGGGUCCAGUACUGGCACCGGGCGUCGACGAUUUCUCACCGGAGCACUCAACUCCGUCGUAAAUCCGCCUGGUCCGCGGACAGCUUUGCGCCCACCGUUUUCUCUGGUAAAAUUCCUCACCCUAACUCUGCCUUGAUCUCCUCUACGUGUUGCACACGCUGGGUUGUUGUUUGGAGCACUACGGCGUGAGGGGUGGCUUGCCGGCAAUGGCGCCGCCGCCCCUGGUUACUGGCGCCACCGUGGCACGGCUGGUGUUGGGGGGAAACACCCUGGUCGUCCGAUCCUCAUUGAACGGGAUAGAUUAGAUCGACGAUAACCUUUCGGCUCUUUAAAUCUAGUCCGUAGAAAUGUGAUCGGAGGGCUACGGUUGUUUUAAAUUCGGUCCGUUGAUGGUAGAUCCAAGCGCCUAGAAUGCAUCAUGGUUCGUCAUAGCCGGCUUUUAAUCUGGGCCGUCCGGUUUCUAUCCUGCAGCCAGGGAUCCACCAUACCCGUUCGCCGUAGGCAUUUUACACAAGAGUCCCUGAGAAAUAUAAGAAUCAACCCGCAGUCCUUGCGCUAGGAGCUCUGUGUCUUAGGAAAAUUUAUGUAGAGGCCCCUAUGUUUUCUGUAAAUGGUGAACUCAGUCCAGAGAACAAAAAAUCAAAAGAAUUCAUUUAGAAAAUACAUUUUUGUGUGAAAAUAAUUAUAGGAACUUAAUUAAUUCCUAGAAAAUACAUUUUAACUCCUUUUCAGUCCAUUCCAAUUUCUAUAAUUUUGUAAUAAUGUUGUUUAUCACCUAUUGCCUCUGUUUUGACAUGAAAACAAUAAUAAAAUUGAUCUCCUAAUUAAUCUCAUAUCAAAUACAUAAAAUCAUUAGAAAUUCAUAACUUAAAAUCUAUGACUCCGAUUGGACCCGUUCAAGUUGAGUUAGUCUCGUAUAAAUAUUUACUAUGCAAUAACAAUAUUUAUUAUACCAUGUCUCAUUAUUUUGUAAUUAGAUUUCUAUUUAACUUAUGUUGGUUAGUCUUGUUAAUGUGCUUAUCAUUAUAAUCUACUAGAAUAUGAUCUAAGGUCAAAUUAUAAUUUUGAUUAAAGUUGAGAUAAUUAUUUAUAGAAUAACCUCUUAUAUGAUUUAUAUUAACCAAUUUAUAAUAUAGUUCAAUAUUUUAAUCACAUAAAUCCUCUAUGAAAUCAUACUUUUUAAUCGUAACUCCAAUUUUAGUGGUUCUCAUUCCUACGAUCUCGUAGCGACGCGUAGAUCAUUAUUAUUCAGUUUGUACUUAUGUUUGGUGUGAUGUUAAUUUUUUCUAUACCAUGUUUGUUUGUAUUGCUACGACUGGCAUGAUGUCACGAGGAUCUGAAGAAUCAUUCUGGUACCUGGAAUCUCAAGUCCCAGGCAAGUUGUGCCCUUGACCACUUUUGUUACCCAAUAAUAUUCUUUAUUAUCACUAUUCAUGCAUAGGUUAAUUUUAAUGGGGCCCAAUAGGCCACCCUAGAUUGUUUAUCUUUUACCUUGUUUACCCCUGAAUCAUUGGGUAGUUAUGCUAUUGCUUUACACGGUUUUUGGGUUAAUAUUUUGUUAUAUCCAUGUUCCUAUUAUUCUGUUAUGUUAUUUAUGUUCAUGAUAAGAUCAUUAUGUUAAUGGGAAGAUGGAGAACCACCCGGGAAAACAGUGCUACCACAAGGGUAGUAUGGGAUGCCCUUGGCUGAUUAACUAGGAAAGCUAGUGGAUGACUUCCUUACCCGAAAGGGGCAAGGGCAGUAGGGGAGUGGUCAGUGUAGGGAGGUCCUUGGGUUGAUUUUGCUGCAAUGGCGGUUAGGCGAGGGAUCCCUGCAUUGUAGCUUCCUAUAAACUGUAGCGGGUUUUCUGAAACUAGUGGAACUUUGUAAAGGCCUCGUAGUGUUACCCUACCUCGCCUCCUCGGUAGAGGUGUAUGGGAUUGGCUGUCCCUUGGCAGAUGAGUAACAUGACUUGUGGGUAAAGAUGCGCAACCUCUGCAGAGUGUAAAACUGGUAUACUAGCCGUGCUCACGGUCAUGAGCAGCUCGGACACUCACAUGAUUAAUUUAUGUACAUAAAUUCAAUUUGUCAUUUGCAUUUGCAUGAGAUUAUUUAUUAAUUUUGUUCUAUUAUUUAUUAUGGUUUGGUAUUCACUUACACUUAGUAACUGCUAAUAAAACUUUGACCAACUUAUAAAAGUAAUGCCCAACUUCAACCUUUAUUUUGUUGAUCAGCCUUACACUUCACAUGAACUCCCACCUUUGGUGAGUUCAUACACAUUAUUCCCCACAACUUGUUAAACGAUGAACAUGUGUGAGCUCACCCUUAUUGUCUCACACCCCUCACAGGAGAAGAACAUGUGGUUCAAAAGGAGCCGCUUAAUGAGGAGUUCCAUUCGAUCUAGGUGGCGUCUCCCAGUUGACUUUCUAGCGCCAAGGAUGGAUUUUAGUUCGAUCUAUAUUUAUAUUUUGUAAGACUUCCGCUAUGUAAUAAGUACUCUAAUUAUAUUGCGACAUUUAUCUCUAUACACUCUGUUAUUAUAUAUGUUGUCUUCUUUGGCGCAUGUAUGAG
rnacentral:lncRNA from 1 species